rnacentral:rRNA from 1 species
UGGGAGCUUGCUCCCGGAUUAGUGGCGAACGGGUGAGUAACACGUGAGUAACCUGCCCUUAACUCUGGGAUAAGCCUGGGAAACUGGGUCUAAUACCGGAUAUGACUCCUCAUCGCAUGGUGGGGGGUGGAAAGCUUUUUGUGGUUUUGGAUGGACUCGCGGCCUAUCAGCUUGUUGGUGAGGUAAUGGCUUACCAAGGCGACGACGGGUAGCCGGCCUGAGAGGGUGACCGGCCACACUGGGACUGAGACACGGCCCAGACUCCUACGGGAGGCAGCAGUGGGGAAUAUUGCACAAUGGGCGCAAGCCUGAUGCAGCGACGCCGCGUGAGGGAUGACGGCCUUCGGGUUGUAAACCUCUUUCAGUAGGGAAGAAGCGAAAGUGACGGUACCUGCAGAAGAAGCGCCGGCUAACUACGUGCCAGCAGCCGCGGUAAUACGUAGGGCGCAAGCGUUAUCCGGAAUUAUUGGGCGUAAAGAGCUCGUAGGCGGUUUGUCGCGUCUGCCGUGAAAGUCCGGGGCUCAACUCCGGAUCUGCGGUGGGUACGGGCAGACUAGAGUGAUGUAGGGGAGACUGGAAUUCCUGGUGUAGCGGUGAAAUGCGCAGAUAUCAGGAGGAACACCGAUGGCGAAGGCAGGUCUCUG